rnacentral:piRNA from 1 species
UCUGAGUCGAGCUCUGACAGUGCUU